rnacentral:rRNA from 1 species
GAUGAACGCUGGCGGCGUGCCCAAUACAUGCGAGUCGAGCGAACAGACGAGGAGCUUGCUCCUCUGACGUUAGCGGCGGACGGGUGAGUAACACGUGGAUAACCUACCUAUAAGACUGGGAUAACUUCGGGAAACCGGAGCUAAUACCGGAUAAUAUAUUGAACCGCAUGGUUCAAUAGUGAAAGACGGUUUUGCUGUCACUUAUAGAUGGAUCCGCGCCGCAUUAGCUAGUUGGUAAGGUAACGGCUUACCAAGGCAACGAUGCGUAGCCGACCUGAGAGGGUGAUCGGCCACACUGGAACUGAGACACGGUCCAGACUCCUACGGGAGGCAGCAGUAGGGAAUCUUCCGCAAUGGGCGAAAGCCUGACGGAGCAACGCCGCGUGAGUGAUGAAGGUCUUCGGAUCGUAAAACUCUGUUAUUAGGGAAGAACAAAUGUGUAAGUAACUAUGCACGUCUUGACGGUACCUAAUCAGAAAGCCACGGCUAACUACGUG